rnacentral:rRNA from 1 species
AAAAAGCGGAGGAAAAGAAACCAACAGGGAUUGCCUUAGUAGCGGCGAGUGAAGCGGCAAAAGCUCAAAUUUGAAAUCUGGCACUUUCAGUGUCCGAGUUGUAAUUUGAAGAAGGUAUCUUUGGGUCUGGCUCUUGUCUAUGUUUCUUGGAACAGAACGUCACAGAGGGUGAGAAUCCCGUGCGAUGAGAUGUCCCAGACCUAUGUAAAGUUCCUUCGAAGAGUCGAGUUGUUUGGGAAUGCAGCUCUAAGUGGGUGGUAAAUUCCAUCUAAAGCUAAAUAUUGGCGAGAGACCGAUAGCGAACAAGUACAGUGAUGGAAAGAUGAAAAGAACUUUGAAAAGAGAGUGAAAAAGUACGUGAAAUUGUUGAAAGGGAAGGGCUUGAGAUCAGACUUGGUAUUUUGUAUGUUACUCUCUCGGGGGUGGCCUCUACAGUUUACCGGGCCAGCAUCAGUUUGAGCGGUAGGAUAAGUGCAAAGAAAUGUGGCACUGCUUCGGUAGUGUGUUAUAGUCUUUGUCGAUACUGCCAGCUUAGACUGAGGACUGCGGCUUCGGCCUAGGAUGUUGGCAUAAUGAUCUUAAGUCGCCCGUCUUGACCC